GACGAACGCUGGCGGCGUGCUUAACACAUGCAAGUCGAACGAUGAAGCCGUGAAACGCGGGCUUCGGCUCGAAUCUCACGUCGGAGUAGUGGCAGACUGGCGAGUACCGCGUGUGCAACCUACCUCUUACAACUGGAUAGCCUCCGGGAACCGAGAUUAAGCCCCUAUGACACAUUCAGAAAGCAUCUUAAGAAUGUUAAAGCUCCGGCGGUAAGGGAUGGGCUCGCGUCACAUUAGCUAGUUGGUGAGGUAACGGCACACCAAGGCGACGAGGGGUAACCGGGCUGAGAGGGUGACCGGUCACGUUGGAGCUGAGACACGGUCCAAACUCCUACGGGAGGCAGCAGAGGGGAAUACAGCAGACUGGAGGGAACUCUGAUGAAGCGGCGCCGCGUGAGCGAUGCAGGAAGUCGUUACGUAAAGCUCUGUUCUAUGGGAAGAAAAGGACUGUACCAUAGGAGAAAGCCCCGGCUAACUACGUG
rnacentral:rRNA from 1 species